GGCCAUAGCUCACUGGUAGAGCAGCUGCCUUGCAUGCAGAAGGUUGCUGGUUCCAUCUCUGGCAGAUCCA